UACAGAGGGGGCAAGCGUUGUUCGGAAUUACUGGGCGUAAAGGGCGCGUAGGCGGCCUGCUAAGUCGAACGUGAAAUCCCCGGGCUCAACCCGGGAACUGCGUCCGAUACUGGUGGGCUUGAAUCCGGGAGAGGGAUGCGGAAUUCCAGGUGUAGCGGUGAAAUGCGUAGAUAUCUGGAGGAACACCGGUGGCGAAGGCGGCAUCCUGGACCGGCAUUGACGCUGAGGCGCGAAAGCCAGGGGAGCAAACGGG
rnacentral:rRNA from 1 species